CAAUGUAGCUCAGUUGGUAGAGCAGCUGAUUCGUAAUCAGCAGGUCAAGGGUUCGAGUCCCUUCAUUGG
rnacentral:tRNA from 2 species